rnacentral:rRNA from 2 species
AGUGGGGAAUAUUGGACAAUGGGCGCAAGCCUGAUCCAGCCAUGCCGCGUGGGUGAAGAAGGCCUUCGGGUUGUAAAGCCCUUUUGUUGGGAAAGAAAACUUUCCGGCUAAUACCCGGAGAGAAUGACGGUACCCAAAGAAUAAGCACCGGCUAACUUCGUGCCAGCAGCCGCGGUAAUACGAAGGGUGCAAGCGUUACUCGGAAUUACUGGGCGUAAAGCGUGCGUAGGUGGUUCGUUAAGUCUGAUGUGAAAGCCCUGGGCUCAACCUGGGAAUUGCAUUGGAUACUGGCGGGCUAGAGUGCGGUAGAGGGUAGUGGAAUUCCUGGUGUAGCAGUGAAAUGCGUAGAGAUCAGGAGGAACAUCCGUGGCGAAGGCGACUGCCUGGACCAGCACUGACACUGAGGCACGAAAGCGUGGGGAGCAAA